AGUCUGCUAUUAAGUUAUUAACCUGAAAACUUUUAAGUGCAAGUCUCCAACAUCAACAUCAUCAACAACAACAACAACAACAACAACAAUAAGAACAAUAAUAAUAAUAAUGAUGUAAUAUUUUAUUAUUUUUAUUAUUUUUUUUUUUUUCAUAAUUUUACGUAAAUAAAAAAAUUAUAAUGGAGGAUGCAAAUAUUGAAAGAGCAACCAUUGAUGAAAAUACAUCACUUCCAAUUAUUUAUCCACAAGGCAUAAAUGAAAUCCAAAUAAAUGCUAUAAAUGCAGACACUAUUGGUGACACAUUGUACAGUAAAAAAUGGAUAAUAGAAACAUUAUUAUCUCUAUCAAAGAUAUCAGAUAAAGAUGAAUGGUCGGAAACAUUAGAAAAUAAAUUUUGCAUGCUUUGGGACAUGACAUUAGAAAAAGACGUGGUUUUCUUUUUGGUCGAAAAUCAUUUUUUACCAAUUGCUGAGGUGGUUAUUAAUCAGUCUCACGAGCCACGUUUGACAGAAAUAAUCGUCGGUAUCGUGGCCAAUAUGUGCUGCCAGUCAGAAGUUUUGAAACAUUUUGAAAAAAUGGAUGAAUUCGUUAACAGUUUAAUGAAUUUAUUGGCUAGUGAUGACACGGAAAUACUUAUACAGGUUUUAAGAAUACUGCAAGCUGCUAUUUGGAAUAUUACAAGCGAGAAACCCGCCAAAAAGUGGCUAUGUUUCAUAAAUCAAUGUGAAAUUUUCGGUCAAGCUUUAACAUUCAUAUUACAAAGUUCAACAAAUGGAGGUCUUUUGAUUUCUACUCUCAAUCUACUCCAAUCAGCUGCAAGCGUACAGUUGUCCACGAAAUGCCUGUUGGAAAGUUCUUUUGAUAUUAAACUAUUACUAUCGGCCAUGAUUGAAGCAUUCAAUCAACUAAUACCUAGAAAAAAAAGUGAAAAAUUUUACACAAAUACUGACAUGAUUGUUGUUGAAGUUUGGCUGGAAAUUUUUACUAAAAUCAUUCAAAUGGAUACUAAUCUAAAGUGCAACAUUGAUGAUGAUAAUUGUGAAGCACUGAUCGAAUUAUUAAUCAGAAUAUUAGAUCCGUGUAAGAAAUACGAUGAAUUGAGGCACUUUAUUUCUCUUAACGAAUCUUUGAUUUUUCACUGUAUUUAUCAAGCUGUUGAGAGUAUCUAUUGGUUUCAACAACGUGGGUUCAGUGUUGAUAUAGAAGCUAUUUCUACAAUUUUGCAAAUAUUGCAUCAAUUAAGUUUACGCUUAGCAACAGUAAAAAGACCAAACACGGAUAAUAGAAGUGAGACCUAUUUGCUAACUGCAAAUGAAAGAUCUGAAAAAGCUAUUAAUGUCAAUCAGUUGGACAGUGAAUCGAGUCGUGGAGAGCUUCCAAUAGCUGACCAAGGGCCUGGGCAUCGAUCAAAAGAAAAAAACUUGAUAAAUCAAUAUAAAACUCGCUUUAAAAUUAACCUAUGCUUUUUGGCCUCGACCAGCUAACGAACGCUCCCCAGAUGAAUUUAUCACAAUAGAUGUUCGAGCCAAAGUUUUACUACCAGAUUUUUUAAGUCACCUGAAUGGACGAUCUCAAAACUUGUUCGAAAAUAUAACAGAAUGAUUUUUUAAAAAACUUUACGACGAAAGUUAAAAAAAAAAGAAAAACCUUCG
rnacentral:misc_RNA from 1 species